rnacentral:rRNA from 1 species
UGGGGAAUUUUGGACAAUGGGCGAAAGCCUGAUCCAGCAAUGCCGCGUGUGUGAAGAAGGCCUUCGGGUUGUAAAGCACUUUUGUCCGGAAAGAAAUCCUUGGCUCUAAUACAGUCGGGGGAUGACGGUACCGGAAGAAUAAGCACCGGCUAACUACGUGCCAGCAGCCGCGGUAAUACGUAGGGUGCAAGCGUUAAUCGGAAUUACUGGGCGUAAAGCGUGCGCAGGCGGUUUGCUAAGACCGAUGUGAAAUCCCCGGGCUCAACCUGGGAACUGCAUUGGUGACUGGCAGGCUAGAGUAUGGCAGAGGGGGGUAGAAUUCCACGUGUAGCAGUGAAAUGCGUAGAGAUGUGGAGGAAUACCGAUGGCGAAGGCAGCCCCCUGGGCCAAAUACUGACGCUCAUGCACGAAAAGCGUGGGGGAGCAAAACAGGAUUAGAUACCCCGUAGGUCAGCGCCCCUAAAACGAUGUCAACUAGUUGUUGGGGGAUUCAUUUCCUUAGUAACGUAGCUAACGCGUGAAGUUGACCGCCUGGGGAGUACGGUCGCAAGAUUAAAACUCAAAUGAAUUGACGGGGUCAUA